rnacentral:rRNA from 1 species
CAGCAGUCGCCGCGGGAAUACGAAGGGGGCUAGCGUUGCUCGGAAUUACUGGGCGUAAAGGGCGCGUAGGCGGACUGAUAAGUCAGGGGUGAAAUCCCAAGGCUCAACCUUGGAACUGCCUUUGAUACUGUUUGUCUUGAGUUCGAGAGAGGUAAGUGGAACUGCGAGUGUAGAGGUGAAAUUCGUAGAUAUUCGCAAGAACACCAGUGGCGAAGGCGGCUUACUGGCUCGAAACUGACGCUGAGGCGCGAAAGCGUGGGGAGCAAACAGGAUUAGAUACCCGCGUAGUCCCUGUCUCUUAUAC